rnacentral:rRNA from 1 species
GAUGAACGCUGGCGGCGUGCCUAAUACAUGCAAGUCGAGCGAACAGACGAGGAGCUUGCUCCUCUGACGUUAGCGGCGGACGGGUGAGUAACACGUGGAUAACCUACCUAUAAGACUGGGAUAACUUCGGGGAACCGGAGCUAAUACCGGAUAAUAUAUUGAACCGCAUGGUUCAAUAGUGAAAGACGGUUUUGCUGUCACUUAUAGAUGGAUCCGCGCCGCAUUAGCUAGUUGGUAAGGUAACGGCUUACCAAGGCGACGAUGCGUAGCCGACCUGAGAGGGUGAUCGGCCACACUGGAACUGAGACACGGUCCAGACCCCUACGGGAGGCAGCAGUAGGGAAUCUUCCGCAAAGGGCGAAAGCCUGACGGAGCAACGCCGCGUGAGUGAUGAAGGUCUUCGGAUCGUAAAACUCUGUUAUUAGGGAAGAACAAAUGUGUAAGUAACUAUGCACGUCUUGACGGUACCUAAUCAGAAAGCCACGGCUAACUACGUG